AGAGUUUGAUCAUGGCUCAGAUUGAACGCUGGCGGCAGGCCUAACACAUGCAAGUCGAACGGUAACAGGAAGCAGCUUGCUGCUUCGCUGACGAGUGGCGGACGGGUGAGUAAUGUCUGGGAAGCUGCCUGAUGGAGGGGGAUAACUACUGGAAACGGUAGCUAAUACCGCAUAAUGUCGCAAGACCAAAGAGGGGGACCUUCGGGCCUCUUGCCAUCGGAUGUGCCCAGAUGGGAUUAGCUUGUUGGUGGGGUAACGGCUCACCAAGGCGACGAUCCCUAGCUGGUCUGAGAGGAUGACCAGCCACACUGGAACUGAGACACGGUCCAGACUCCUACGGGAGGCAGCAGUGGGGAAUAUUGCACAAUGGGCGCAAGCCUGAUGCAGCCAUGCCGCGUGUAUGAAGAAGGCCUUCGGGUUGUAAAGUACUUUCAGCGGGGAGGAAGGGAGUAAAGUUAAUACCUUUGCUCAUUGACGUUACCCGCAGAAGAAGCACCGGCUAACUCCGUGCCAGCAGCCGCGGUAAUACGGAAGGUGCAAGCGUUAAUCGGAAUUACUGGGCGUAAAGCGCACGCAGGCGGUUUGUUAAGUCAGAUGUGAAAUCCCCGGGCUCAACCUGGGAACUGCAUCUGAUACUGGCAAGCUUGAGUCUCGUAGAGGGGGGUAGAAUUCCAGGUGUAGCGGUGAAAUGCGUAGAGAUCUGGAGGAAUACCGGUGGCGAAGGCGGCCCCCUGGACGAAGACUGACGCUCAGGUGCGAAAGCGUGGGGAGCAAACAGGAUUAGAUACCCUGGUAGUCCACGCCGUAAACGAUGUCGACUUGGAGGUUGUGCCCUUGAGGCGUGGCUUCCGGAGCUAACGCGUUAAGUCGACGCCUGGGGAGUACGGCCGCAAGGUUAAAACUCAAAUGAAUUGACGGGGGCCCGCACAAGCGGUGGAGCAUGUGGUUUAAUUCGAUGCAACGCGAAGAACCUUACCUGGUCUUGACAUCCACGGAAGUUUUCAGAGAUGAGAAUGUGCCUUCGGGAACCGUGAGACAGGUGCUGCAUGGCUGUCGUCAGCUCGUGUUGUGAAAUGUUGGGUUAAGUCCCGCAACGAGCGCAACCCUUAUCCUUUGUUGCCAGCGGUCCGGCCGGGAACUCAAAGGAGACUGCCAGUGAUAAACUGGAGGAAGGUGGGGAUGACGUCAAGUCAUCAUGGCCCUUACGACCAGGGCUACACACGUGCUACAAUGGCGCAUACAAAGAGAAGCGACCUCGCGAGAGCAAGCGGACCUCAUAAAGUGCGUCGUAGUCCGGAUUGGAGUCUGCAACUCGACUCCAUGAAGUCGGAAUCGCUAGUAAUCGUGGAUCAGAAUGCCACGGUGAAUACGUUCCCGGGCCUUGUACACACCGCCCGUCACACCAUGGGAGUGGGUUGCAAAAGAAGUAGGUAGCUUAACCUUCGGGAGGGCGCUUACCACUUUGUGAUUCAUGACUGGGGUGAAGUCGAAACAAGGUA
rnacentral:rRNA from 1 species